rnacentral:rRNA from 1 species
CUGGCUCAGGAUGAACGCUGGCGGCGUGCUUAACACAUGCAAGUCGAACGGAGUUUAAGAAGGAAGCUUGCUUUCAUUUUAAACUUAGUGGCGGACGGGUGAGUAACGCGUGAGGAACCUGCCCUUCAGUGGGGAACAACAACUGGAAACGGUUGCUAA